GCGAGCGUGCUGAUUCUCACCUGCUCAAUGGCCCGAUGAACCACAAUGGAAACGUGCGGCGGCGCAGGCGCAGGCGCAGGAAGUGCUGAGGGCGCGUGGGAGGUGCAAGUGUCGAGAAAAGAAGGCCAGUUCACACGUGUGGCAAGUUGAAGUCACUCAGCAGCUGUAUCCCACCUUCGAUCAGCUGCCCUUCUUAAGCUGCCCUUGGACUCCGUCACGCCACCAGAUUGUCAAUACGCAACGUGGACCUGCCGCAUUGUCCCCAGACCCAGCUCACGGACCCCUUCAUCAACCAGCAACUGUCCCCCUACGGUCAAACAACCUUUCCAUCAAAUGUGUGCAACAUUUGUUUUAUAGGUCUUCUCCGCCAUUGGAACUCUGACAUGUUGUUUGUUGGCAACCAGUCCAGGCUGUAAUCUGCCUCUCACCCCAAAGUCAGCAGGUAUAGGCUCCUAAUGAGGAAAAGCACUAUAGAAAAUGAAUGGAUGGAUGGAUUCUUGUCUCGAAAAGAAAAACAAAAAACCCAUUUUCUAAAAAGCCCAAGAUGUUUG